ensembl:lncRNA
AUGAUCACCAUGGCUAUUUACAGAGCAGAGCUAUUCCCCCGCCUUCUUCAUAGAAAGCAGGGAAGCAUUUGGCAGGGUGCAUGCAGACAGAAUUCCCUCAACACCAGCUUGGAGCCUGAACAUCGCUGUGCUCAAACUAAUUGGAUUACCCUGACAGUAAUGCACUACCAAGCUUCACACAUGCCACCUAAUAAAUUGCACCAAUAUCAGUUGAGGGUGGAGAUUAAAACAGAUUAUACAGAGAAUGAAGUAAGUUUACCUCAUUGUGAUUAAUUAAAGGAUUACCUUUCUACAUACUGAUAGUGAAAAUAAAGUGCCUUGAAUUGGCCUACAUAGUUAUCAUUAGUAAUACUGUCAGGGAUAAUGAUGCUUAUAAUUAUAGCUGUGAUAAUCAAAAUUAUAUUAAUUAUAUCCAUAGUCAGUGUCAGUGCCUCAAUAACAAGCUUGCACAUUAUAGUUUAGUAAUGAGUUAUUUAUUGUUUUAAUUAGCUUAUACUCUCUGUUUAUAAGUUAAACUUUACCUUCCAUGAUCAAGGUUUUGUUUUGUUUUUGUUUUUUGGAAUAGAUGAAAUAGAAAAAAGCGGUUAAAUGAGUUCAUUCCUCUAACUCUACAUGCUGACAGACUGUAUGGAUGAUGGUUUCACUCUGCUCCGUGCAGUGCGUUCUUCACAUUAUGGUUGACCUUUUUCCACAAUGUUCUCUCUCAUCUUCUCUAUGUGACCUUCCUUUGAUCUCGUCAGAGCUCUUGCUUUUUCUUUCAGUUCCAGUCAGAACUCAUACAUCUGCUGAAUGAUUUAUUUAUGGCACCACUCCUCAACCGCCUCUCUUUUUUUCUGUUUCAGACAUACACCUUUGCUUUUGCUUUAUUUGUUUCUAUCUGUGUCAAUACCAACAGUUGGUUUUUGUUGUUGUUUUUAUUAGUUCAUACAUUUCUGUCUUCUCUACUGCUUUUUCUUAUUAUUGCUCCUCUGUUUCUUUAAGUUAGAAGAGUUUUAUUUUUUAGAAUUUGCAGCAGUAUUCAGAAAUGUAUUAAAUACUUACAAACGAUCUUGAUGCUUGUUCAAUAUAGGCCUACUUAUUUUCAUUUUUAAAAUACCUGGGCCAUUAGCUGAGGCUACCUGCUAUCACGAGGAUUCAAACAGAGCAUCUUGGAAA